GCAUCGUAGAUACUGCCCACUGCCCUCCGAAGGCAGGGGUUGCUGGUUCGAUCCCAGCCGGGCGCGCCA
rnacentral:tRNA from 3 species